GGUUGGGUGGGUUCCCCAACUUUUGCAGUGGCGAACGUACAUUGACUGGCCGUAACUUACGUAGGCUAUGUUUCGCAUGGGCUCCAUCAGAAUUGCUUUAAAAAAAGCUAUCGCAUCAAGAAAAAACUAAAAAGGUAGCUCAGUUGGAAUAAACGUUUCGUCGCCAGUAGAAGACAGACGUUGUCUGCUCAAACGUUCAUAACCGGUUUCAAACGUGCGUUCCAAAAUGUGAAAAGCGCACGUAUAAAAAGGCAAUAUUUGGUUGGAAUGAAAUGUCAAAGCAAGUCCACCAGUAUCACAAAAAACACUGUAGAAAAAUUAGCGCAAUAAAUAUUUGUUGAAUUCUAGCAAUAAUGGAUACCGAUACCUAUAAGAUUGUGUUGCUCAUUGGAGCUUAAAUUUGAGUUGAUUGAACACGCUGAAGAUGCCUCCCUGAAGAGUUCCUGAAAUCUUCCCGGAACAAAUGCGUUGAACCCAUUUUACUUAAAUUACGACAAGGAUAACUUUUAGUGUUAGUUACGUGAAUGGAUAUGGCCGAAGUUGCAGGGAAAACGGAGGCUACAAUGGAUUCCGCUAGUUUAAUUCUGCGUUGCAUAACAGCAACUGUAAAAACUAUCCAAUUUGUAUCCACUUAAUCCUAUAAUGUGCUUCACAAUAAAUAUCUAUGAAAGAAAAUACAAACCUGGCGCAUUCA